GUGGGGAAUCUUAGACAAUGGGCGCAAGCCUGAUCUAGCCAUGCCGCGUGAGCGAUGAAGGCCUUAGGGUUGUAAAGCUCUUUCGUGGGGGAAGAUAAUGACUGUACCCCAAGAAGAAGCCCCGGCUAACUCCGUGCCAGCAGCCGCGGUAAUACGGAGGGGGCUAGCGUUGUUCGGAAUUACUGGGCGUAAAGCGCACGUAGGCGGACUGGAAAGUCAGGGGUGAAAUCCCGGGGCUCAACCCCGGAACUGCCUUUGAAACUCCCAGUCUUGAGGUCGAGAGAGGUGGGUGGAAUUCCGAGUGUAGAGGUGAAAUUCGUAGAUAUUCGGAGGAACACCAGUGGCGAAGGCGGCCCACUGGCUCGAUACUGACGCUGAGGUGCGAAAGCGUGGGGAGCAAACAGGAUUAGAAACCCCAGUAGUCC
rnacentral:rRNA from 1 species